UACAGAGGUCUCAAGCGUUGUUCGGAUUCAUUGGGCGUAAAGGGUGCGUAGGCGGCGCGGUAAGUCGGGUGUGAAAUCUCGGGGCUUAACUCCGAAACUGCAUUCGAUACUGCCGUGCUUGAGGACUGGAGAGGAGACUGGAAUUUACGGUGUAGCGGUGAAAUGCGUAGAUAUCGUAAGGAAGACCAGUGGCGAAGGCGGAUCUCUGGGCCUUACCUGACGCUGAGGCGCGAAAGCUAGGGGAGCGAACAGG
rnacentral:rRNA from 1 species